UUAAGCUCUACUUAGUGUUAGGUGUUUGUUCCACUUAGGACUCGCCUUAAAACAAUUAGUAGCUAGCACAUUGGCCUAGAGCGCAGCACAUUUUGCGCCUCUUAUUAUAGUUGUUAGCAUCUAUUAAGAUACUUUUUAAGCUCUUAACCUUAGAUUAGGUAGGGAUACCCGCUAAACUUAAGCAUAUUAAUAAGCGGAGGAAAAGAAACUAACAGGGAUUGCCCUAGUAACGGCGAGUGAAGUGGCAACAGCUUAAAUUUAAAAUCUAGCUCUUUUAGGGUCUGAGUUGUAAUUUGCAGAGGGCGCUUUAGCGUUAGUAGUAGUCUAAGUUCCUUAGAACAGGACGUUAUAGAGGGUGAGAAUCCUAUACAUAGUCGCUGGCCUUCGCCGUGUAAAGCCCCUUUAACAAGUUAAGUUGUUUAGGAAUGUAGCUCUAAAUAGGAGGUAAAUUUCUUCUAAAGCUAAAUACUAGCUAGAGACUAAUAGCGCACAAGUAGAGUAAUUAAAAGAUAAAAAGCACUUUAGAAAGAGAGUUAAAUAGCACGUGAAAUUGUUAAAAGGGAAGCGCUUGCAGCUAGACUUGCCUAUAGUUGCUUAUCUAGGCUUUUAUCUAGUGUACUCUUCUACAGGCAGGCUAGUAUUAGUUUAGGCAGUUAGAUAAAGGUCUCUGUCACGUACCUCCCUUUAGGGAGGCCUUAUAGGGGAGACAACAUGCAACUAGCCUAGACUAAGGUCUACGCAUCUGCUAGGAUGCUAGCGUAAUAGCUGUAAGCGGCCCGUCUUAAAAUAUAGACUAAGGAGUCUAAUAUCUAUGCGAGUGUUUAGGUGUUAAGCCUAGACGCGUAAUAAAAGUAAACAGAGGUAGGAACCCUUUUAGGGUGCACUAUUAACUAAUCCUAAUAUCUUUAGAAGGAUUUAAGUAAGAGCAUAGCUAUUAGGACCCAAAAGAUAGUAAACUAUGCUUAAAUAGGGUGAAGCUAGAGGAAACUCUAGUAGAGGCUCGCAGCGGUUCUAACGUGCAAAUUAAUUAUUAAAUUUAGGCAUAGGGGCGAAAGACUAAUUGAACUAUCUAGUAGCUAGUUCCUGCUAAAGUUUCCCUUAGGAUAGCAGUAACGUAUUCAGUUUUAUAAGGUAAAGCGAAUAAUUAGAGGCCUAGGGGUUAAAACAACCUUCACCUAUUCUUAAACUUUAAAUAUGUAAGAAGUCCUUAUUACUUAAUUAAACGUAGACACUUAAAUAUACUAUUACUAGUAGGCUAUUUUUGGUAAGCAGAACUAGCGAUGCGGGAUAAACUAAAUACAGGGUUAAGGUGCUAGAAUGCACGCUUAUUAGACACUACAAAAGGUGUUAGUUUAUCUAGACAGCAGGACAGUAGCUAUAGAAGUUAGAAUCCGCUAAGGAGUGUGUAACAACUUACCUGCUAAAUAAACUAGCCCUAAAAAUAGAUGGCGCUUAAGCGUGUUACCUAUACCCUGCCGCUAGGGCAAGAUUUAAGCCCUAGCGAGUAGGCAGGCGUAGAGGCUCGUGACGAAGCCUUAGGGGUAACCCUAGGUAGAACGGCCUCUAGUGCAGAUCUUAGUAGUAGUAGCAAAUACUUAAAUAAGAACUUUAAGGACUAAAGUAGGGAAAGGUUCCGUGUGAACAGCAGUUAGACACGGGUUAGUUAAUCCUAAGAGAUAGGGUAAUUCUAUUUUAAUAUUAGUGCUUGCGCCGCGCCCUUAAAAGGGAAGCUAGUUAAUAUUCUAGCACCUAGAUGUAGAUUCUCCGCGGCAACGCAACUAAGAGCAGAGACCUUAGCAGGAGCCCUAAGAAGAGUUCUCUUUUCUUCUUAAUGGUCUGUCACCCUAAAAUUGGUUUGUCUAGAGCUAGGGUUUAAUAGCUAGAAGAGCGCUGCACUUUUGCGGCGUUUAGUGCGCUCCUAAUAAGCCUUAAAAAUCUACUUAAAGAAAUAGUUUUUACGCUAGGUCGUACUUAUAACCGCAGCAGGUCUCUAAGGUAAAAAGCCUCUAGUUAAUAGAACAAUAUAGAUAAGGGAAGUUAGCAAAAUAGAUCUGUAACUUUAGGAAAAGGAUUAGCUCUAAGGGUUAGGUACGUUGGGCCUUAGGGAGAAGCCUCUAGCGUAGAAGGGCACUAACCGCAAGGUAGGCGCCUCUUAGCGCUGGGGUGCAGACACCCUUAGCAGGUUUCAGCCGUCUAGCGUACGUUUAACAACCAACUUAGAACUAGUAUAGAUAAGGGGAAUCUAACUGUCUAAUUAAAACAUAGCAUUGCGAUAGCUAGAAAGUGGUGUUAACGUAAUGUAAUUUCUGCCUAGUGCUCUAAAUAUUAAAGCAAAGAGAUUUGACUAAGCGCGGGUAAACAGCAGGAGUAACUAUAACUCUCUUAAGGUAGCUAAAUGCCUCGUUAUCUAAUUAGUAACGCGCAUAAAUAGAUUAACGAGAUUCCUACUAUCCCUAUCUACUAUCUAGCGAAACCACAGCUAAGGGAACAGGCUUAGCUAAAUUAGCGGGGAAAGAAGACCCUGUUAAGCUUAACUCUAGUUUAACAUUGUGAAAAGAUAUAGGGGGUGUAGAAUAGGUGGGAGCUUUAGCGCUAGUAAAAUACCACUACCCUUAUCGUUUUUUUACUUAUUUGAUAAAGCGGAGCUAGGCCUUACUACCUAACUUCUAGCGUUUAAGGUCCUUUGUAGGCUAAUCUAGGUUAAAGACAUUAUUAGGUAGGGAGUUUAGCUAGGGCGGCACAUCUAUUAAACCAUAACGCAGGUGUCCUAAGGGGGACUUAUAGAGAAUAGAAAUCUCUAGUAGAGCAAAAGGGCAAAAGAUCCCCUUGAUUUUGAUUUUUAGUGUGAAUAUAAACCAUAAAAGUGUAGCCUAUUAAUCCUUUAGUCCCUUAAAAUUUAAGGCUAGAGGUGCUAGAAAAGUUACUAUAGGGAUAACUAGCUUGUGGCAGCCAAGCGUUCAUAGCGACGUUGCUUUUUAAUCCUUCGAUGUUGGCUCUUCCUAUUAUACCAAAGCAGAAUUUGGUAAGCGUUAGAUUGUUUACCUACUAAUAGGGAACGUAAGCUAGGUUUAGACCGUUGUAAGAUAGGUUAGUUUUACCCUACUAAUAACCUUGCCCUAAUAGUAAUACCGCUUAGUACGAGAGGAACCGCGGUUUUAGAUAAUUGGUUUUUGCGGCUGUCUAACUAGGUAUUGCCGCGAAGCUACUAUCUACUAGAUUAUGGCUAAACGCCUCUAAGUUAGAAUCUAUACUAGAACAGGGUAAUUUCCGCCUGCACUAGUUAGAUACAAAUAGGCCUUUAGCCCAGAACCUUACUAGAUCGGCGUUGGCAGCCCUAUUAAAGUUAGGGUUGUUAGCUAGUGUAUUACAAUUAUAUAGUGCGCAGGAUUAA
rnacentral:rRNA from 2 species